GGCACUACGGUGCUGAAGCAACAAAUGCCCUGCUUCCAGGAAAAGCCUCUAAGCAUCAGGUAACAUCAAAUCGUACCCCAAACCGACACAGGUGGUCAGGUAGAGAAUACCAAGGCGCUUGAGAGAACUCGGGUGAAGGAACUAGGCAAAAUGGUGCCGUAACUUCGGGAGAAGGCACGCUGAUAUGUAGGUGAAGCGACUUGCUCGUGGAGCUGAAAUCAGUCGAAGAUACCAGCUGGCUGCAACUGUUUAUUAAAAACACAGCACUGUGCAAACACGAAAGUGGACGUAUACGGUGUGACGCCUGCCCGGUGCCGGAAGGUUAAUUGAUGGGGUUAGCGGUAACGCGAAGCUCUUGAUCGAAGCCCCGGUAAACGGCGGCCGUAACUAUAACGGUCCUAAGGUAGCGAAAUUCCUUGUCGGGUAAGUUCCGACCUGCACGAAUGGCGUAAUGAUGGCCAGGCUGUCUCCACCCGAGACUCAGUGAAAUUGAACUCGCUGUGAAGAUGCAGUGUACCCGCGGCAAGACGGAAAGACCCCGUGAACCUUUACUAUAGCUUGACACUGAACAUUGAGCCUUGAUGUGUAGGAUAGGUGGGAGGCUUUGAAGUGUGGACGCCAGUCUGCAUGGAGCCGACCUUGAAAUACCACCCUUUAAUGUUUGAUGUUCUAACGUUGGCCCGUUAUCCGGGUUGCGGACAGUGUCUGGUGGGUAGUUUGACUGGGGCGGUCUCCUCCUAAAGAGUAACGGAGGAGCACGAAGGUUGGCUAAUCCUGGUCGGACAUCAGGAGGUUAGUGCAAUGGCAUAAGCCAGCUUGACUGCGAGCGUGACGGCGCGAGCAGGUGCGAAAGCAGGUCAUAGUGAUCCGGUGGUUCUGAAUGGAAGGGCCAUCGCUCAACGGAUAAAAGGUACUCCGGGGAUAACAGGCUGAUACCGCCCAAGAGUUCAUAUCGACGGCGGUGUUUGGCACCUCGAUGUCGGCUCAUCACAUCCUGGGGCUGAAGUAGGUCCCAAGGGUAUGGCUGUUCGCCAUUUAAAGUGGUACGCGAGCUGGGUUUAGAACGUCGUGAGACAGUUCGGUCCCUAUCUGCCGUGGGCGCUGGAGAACUGAGGGGGGCUGCUCCUAGUACGAGAGGACCGGAGUGGACGCAUCACUGGUGUUCGGGUUGUCAUGCCAAUGGCACUGCCCGGUAGCUAAAUGCGGAAGAGAUAAGUGCUGAAAGCAUCUAAGCACGAAACUUGCCCCGAGAUGAGUUCUCCCUGACUCCUUGAGAGUCCUGAAGGAACGUUGAAGACGACGACGUUGAUAGGCCGGGUGUGUAAGCGCAGCGAUGCGUU
rnacentral:rRNA from 1 species